rnacentral:rRNA from 1 species
GACGAACGCUGGCGGCGUGCUUAACACAUGCAUGUCGAACGGAAAGGCCUCUUUCGGGGGGUACUCGAGUGGCGAACGGGUGAGUAACACGUGAGUAACCUGCCCUUGACUUUGGGAUAACUUCAGGAAACUGGGGCUAAUACCGGAUAGGAGCUCCUGCUGCAUGGUGGGGGUUGGAAAGUUUCGGCGGUUGGGGAUGGACUCGCGGCUUAUCAGCUUGUUGGUGGGGUAGUGGCUUACCAAGGCUUUGACGGGUAGCCGGCCUGAGAGGGUGACCGGCCACAUUGGGACUGAGAUACGGCCCAGACUCCUACGGGAGGCAGCAGUGGGGAAUAUUGCACAAUGGGUGGAAGCCUGAUGCAGCAACGCCGUGUGCGGGAGGACGGCCUUCGGGUUGUAAACCGCUUUCGCUCAUGACGAAGCUUUGUGUGACGGUAGUGGGUAAAGAAGCACCGGCUAACUACGUG